GACGAACGCUGGCGGCGUGCUUAACACAUGCAAGUCGAACGGAAAGGCCCUGCUUUUGUGGGGUGCUCGAGUGGCGAACGGGUGUGUAACACGUGAGUAACCUGCCCUUGACUUUGGGAUAACUUCAGGAAACUGGGGCUAAUACCGGGUAGGAGCUCCUGCUGCAUGGUGGGGGUUGGAAAGUUUCGGCGGUCGGGGAUGGACUCGCGGCUUAUCAGCUUGUUGGUGUGGUAGUGGCUGAACACGGCUUUGACGGGUAGGCGGCCUGAGAGGGUGACCGGCCACCUUGGGACUAGGGUCCGGCCCGGCCUCCUCCCGGUCGCAGCAGUGCGGAAUACUAUAGCAUGGGCGGAAGCGUGGUGAGGGCACGCCGCGUGCGGGAUGACGGCCUUGUGGUUGCACAGCGCUGGCGCCUGUGACGCAGCGUCAGUGCCGGUAAUUGGUAAAGCCGCACCGGCUAACUACGUG
rnacentral:rRNA from 1 species